rnacentral:rRNA from 1 species
UACGAAGGGUGCAAACGUUGCUCGGAAUUAUUGGGCGUAAAGCGCACGUAGGCGGCUUAGCAAGUUGGAUGUGAAAGCCCUCGGCUUAACCAAGGAAGUGCAUCCAAAACUGCUGAGCUUGAGUAGUUAAGAGGAUCGCGGAAUUCCCGGUGUAGAGGUGAAAUUCGUAGAUAUCGGAAGGAACAUCAGUGGCGAAAGCGGCUUCCUGGACCAGUACCGACGUUCAGGCACGAAAGCGUGGGGAGCAAACAGG